rnacentral:rRNA from 1 species
GACGAGGGGUCCUAGCGUUGUUCGGAAUCACUGGGCGUAAAGCGUAUGUAGGCGGACUUUUAAGUCGGGUGUGAAAUCCCAUGGCUCAACCAUGGAAUUGCAUUCGAAACUGGAAGCCUUGAGUGUGGGAGAGAUUGGUAGAAUACCUGGUGUAGUGGUGAAAUACGUAGAUAUCAGGUGGAAUACCGGCGGCGAAGGCGGCCAAUUGGCCCAACAUUGACGCUGAGAUACGAAAGCGUGGGGAUCAAACAGG